UUCCGGUUGAUCCUGCCGGACCCGACUGCUAUUUGGGUGAGGAUAAGCCAUGCAAGUUGAAUGACCUCCCAUAGCAAACUGCUCAGUAACACAUGAUCAACUUACCCUAUAGAGAAAGAUAACCUCGGGAAACUGAGGAUAAUAUUUCAUAGUUGAAAAGGCUUGGAAAAGUUUUUCAAUAAAGGUUCUUUGCUAUAGGAUAGGAUCGUGGACGAUUAGGUUGUUGGUGAGGUAAUGGCUCACCAAGCCGAUAAUCGAUAGGGGCCGUGAGAGCGGGAGCCCCGAGAUGGGUACUGAGACAACGACCCAGGCCUUACGAGGCGCAGCAGGCGCGAAACCUCCGCAAUACACGAAAGUGUGACGGGGUUACCCAAAGUGUUCAAUUCUGAACUGUGGUAGGUGAGUAAUGUCCCCUACUAGAAAGGAGAGGGCAAGGCUGGUGCCAGCCGCCGCGGUAAAACCAGCUCUUCAAGUGGUCGGGAUAAUUAUUGGGCUUAAAGUGUCCGUAGCCGGUUUAGUAAGUUCCUGGUAAAAUCGGAUAGCUUAACUAUCCGUAUGCUAGGAAUACUGCUAUACUAGAGGACGGGAGAGGUCUGAGGUACUACAGGGGUAGGGGUGAAAUCUUAUAAUCCUUGUAGGACCACCAGUGGCGAAGGCGUCAGACUGGAACGUGCCUGACGGUGAGGGACGAAAGCCAGGGGAGCGAACCGGAUUAGAUACCCGGGUAGUCCUGGCCGUAAACGAUGCAUACUAGGUGAUGGUACGGCCAUGAGCCGUAUCAGUGCCGUAGGGAAACCGUUAAGUGUGCCGCCUGGGAAGUACGGUCGCAAGGCUAAAACUUAAAGGAAUUGGCGGGGGAGCACCACAAGGGGUGAAGCCUGCGGUUCAAUUGGAUUCAACGCCGGA
rnacentral:rRNA from 1 species